GGCAGCCUACGGGGCGCAGCAGUAGGGAAUUUUCGUCAAUGGGCGCAAGCCUGAACGAGCAAUGCCGCGUGAACGAGGAAGGUCUUCGGAUCGUAAAGUUCUGUUGAAGGGGAAAAAGAGCGGAGAGAGGAAAUGCUUUCUGAUUGAUAUUACCCUUCGAGGAAGUCACGGCUAACUACGUGCCAGCAGCCGCGGUAAUACGUAGGUGGCGAGCGUUAUCCGGAAUGAUUGGGCGUAAAGGGUGCGUAGGCGGCC
rnacentral:rRNA from 1 species